rnacentral:rRNA from 1 species
UAAGGAAUAUUGGUCAAUGGACGCAAGUCUGAACCAGCCAUGCCGCGUGAAGGAUGAAGGUCCUCUGGAUUGUAAACUUCUUUUAUCUGGGACGAAAACGGGAUUUUUAUCUCAAUUGACGGUACCAGAGGAAUAAGCACCGGCUAACUCCGUGCCAGCAGCCGCGGUAAUACGGAGGGUGCGAGCGUUACCCGGAUUUACUGGGUUUAAAGGGUGCGUAGGUGGGCUUAUAAGUCAGUGGUGAAAUCUCCGAGCUUAACUUGGAAACUGCCGUUGAUACUAUAGGUCUUGAAUUAUCUGGAGGUAAGCGGAAUAUGUCAUGUAGCGGUGAAAUGCUUAGAUAUGACAUAGAACACCAAUUGCGAAGGCAGCUUACUACAUAUAAAUUGACGCUGAGGCACGAAAGCGUGGGGAUCAAACA